ACCAACCUACCUGUUCAGAACGAUAUAUAGGCCUAUAGGCUACGUUAUUAUCAUGUCAGCGUUGAUCUGAAGGAGCACGCGAUACAGCGGCUCGUGGCGUGACAGCCUUUAAAUACCAGCCCAGACGACACGAGCGUCAUUCCACAGAUGAAGACAGUCGGAGACCAUCCAGAGAACUCAUUGCUUCGGUUUGAUUGACGUCUAUUGGCCCUGCAGCCUGCUGUUUUUUUUACCAUCCAAACCCCCCUACCCCAUCUUUCUCGCUACCCCCAAACCCCAUCUCCUCUUAUGGCGUUUUUGAUGUCUCUUUUUUGAGACCGCUCAGUAAAACGGCUUGCCUAUCCUCUACCUGUCUCUACCCUAUUUCUCUCUAACUUAUUUACCGCUAUCAUUACGGCAUUCUCAUUUCUAAAGUACUUGAAAUGAACAAAAAAACCGAACUAAAAAAACCCUGAGCCAAUGAAAAACCCAGAGCCAUUGAAAAAAACCCAGAAACUUGAAAAAAAAAAAAAAUCUUUCUUUUUGAAAUAGAAAGUACCAUCUCACUACAAACUGGUUUGUUUUGAGAAAUCUCCUCCUGUACCUAUUGUCACACUCUGUACCUACUGUCACACUCC
rnacentral:lncRNA from 1 species